rnacentral:piRNA from 1 species
UACCACAGUGAAUUCAUCAAUCGAACCUUGU